rnacentral:rRNA from 1 species
UACAGAGGGGGCAACCGUUAUUCGGAAUUAUUGGGCGUAAAGGGCGCGUAGGCGGCCUGGCAAGUGGAAGGUGAAAUCCCUCGGCUUAACCGAGGAACUGCCCUCCAAACUGCUUGGCUUGAGUCCGGGAGAGGUGAGUGGAAUUCCCAGUGUAGCGGUGAAAUGCGUAGAUAUUGGGAGGAACACCAGUGGCGAAGGCGGCUCACUGGACCGGAACUGACGCUGAGGCGCGAAAGCGUGGGGAGCAAACGGG